CCGGUAGCACUUUAUCAUCCUAUGAAUAGAGGUUUGUUUCAAAUAGCAUAAGGAUCUAGUGAAAUUUGAUGAUUAAGAUGUUUAUUUCUUGGUAAUCCUUAAUCGCAUAAUACACAUCUAAUGAUAAAGAAGUUUUUAUAUAUUUAUGAGUUUAAAGGAGAGACAAGACUAAACUUUCUUGACAUACUAUGGGAAUAAAAGCUUAAAGUUAAGAUUCGGAUGAUUCAGAUCCAUUUGGGUUAAAUGUUUUCGUUCCCAAUAGUGAUGAAAAUGACACAGAUUCAGAAUUUGAUGAGCUGACAGUUGAUGAAGAGGAUUCCAGGUUUUCGACCAUUUCUGAAAUAAGUAAACAACAAACAAUGUUCACAUGUAUGUCUCUGCUAUGCCUCGGUCAAUUGCCUGAGAAGGUACAAAACCUUAAGAUCCGAACAAAAUUGUUCAAUGAACGGAAGAAUGUAAGAACGCCACAACCGAACAUUUAAAGAAAAUGUGAUACAAAAAAUAAUAAAAUAUGUACAUUCUCAGGCACUGGCAAGGUGUCUUACUUCGAACAAUGCCGACAUCUCAGGCACCUGAAACAUUUAAUUAUACACGAAAAAAUAAGCAAUUUUAAUGUUUAGAGUUAAGAAAUAAUAUCAGUCUUAGCGGUGUUUAUCGGCUAUUUAACAGCGGUUUGGAGUUUUGAUGCGUAUGGAUUGACCACUAAGGCCGUAGGCCUGAGUGGUCAAUGUUUUUUGCAUCUAAACGACAAAACCGUUGUUAAAUAGCUGAUAAACACCGCUAAUACUGAUAUUAUUCGAUUCUAAUACCAUAAAAUAAGGAAAAUAACUAAUGUUAUUUUUUCAAGCGGAAAUAACUUCCUGUGCCGAUUUUCGUAUAACGCUGUU